AAAAUUUUAAUAUUCGAUGAUCUCCAUAAUCUUAUUCAAUUUAAGUAAUCUUAUUCAAUCACAUUAACAUGCCUCUCAAAUUAAUGUUGGUAAAAGUAUCAAUUUACAAUCAUGAACGAACGACAAUGACAAUACUCGUGCCCAUGAAGAAGAGACCCAAAUCACAGCAGAAACAACCAAGAACCACUCCAAGAACACUUCAAAGAGCUCAUAUCCCAAGAAGAAUUUUCAAAAUAAAUUCACAAAGUGUACCGACCUCACACAAUGAGCUCUAUCAGUCGAACAUAGAAUUUGCAUUCCAACGAAAGCUCUAACGAUCAAUUCACCGAUGAAAAGUUCAGCAAUAUAUUGCUGACCAAGAUGCUGCAGUUGGAAGAAAUCCAACCGAACAACCUACACCAAAAACUCAAAGAUCAUCCCUCCACUAGGAAUCCAAAACCACUCAAGGUUGACCUCUCAUGAGAAUCUAAAUCUUUAGCUCAUCAUUUAGCAUCAAUUUGUUUACAUGAAACUGAUGUAAAAAAGAACUCAAAGGUCCAACUCCAAUGGGCAAACCCCAAAAAUAACCUCACACACAUGCUACAGUCCAUCCUUCUUCUACUAUUCAUUAAGACCUCCAACAACAGCCGAAUAUACCAAAUCAACCCAUUACCAGGCCCAAAUACUAAAUCUGAAAGUUAAAAUCUCCAGCAACAGUCUAAUAUACCAAAUUGAACCAUAAUAAGGCCCAAACACCAAAUCCAAUAGUACUAAAACCAUGAACCUACACAUAACUACAAACUCGACAUAAAUUACAUCAUCUCCAUCUCCCAAACGCUAAACCAUUGUCGCUAUGGGUUUUUCUCCACGCCAACAAUGCCUCAUCCAAUCGGCAACCUAAUCUCUUUGUCUCUGGCAUUGCCUCCAUCCAGGCUCGGCUUGGCAGUAUCUUGAGAAUUUCCCUUCUCUCUAUUUCUUUGUCCCUUCUCUCUAUUUCUUUGCAAUUUUUGAACCCUUUUCAUAUUAGGGUAAUUUUGAGAUUCAUUUAUCUAUGCUUGCUUUGAAACUAGACCAAGUGAUUGAAGGCAUCAGAAGUGCAUAGUAGAUUCAAGGGAAUGGCGCCAAGAGAGCCGUUGCUGCGGUAAAUUAGUUGAAGAGCUUAGCAGCUUCGAUAGAGAUAUCGCCUUUACCGACACCGACCGUGCCGACAUCUUCAUCUGCUUGUUAUGUUAUUUUAUCUAUAUCAGUCUAUUGAUCGCAGAGUAAUUUAGGGCUUUAGGGUUUAAAGAAAAUGCGCCAUUGGAGAACUAAAGAGUACUCUUUCUCUUCUCUCCGUCUAUUUCAAUUUUGAUAAAUGGGAGUGAAAGAGGACGAUUUUGCUUUUCUGAACGAUUUACAAUAAUGGAGGUUGAAAGUCUCAAUAUGUUGAAACGUGAACAAGAAAAAGAAACCAUUAACUCAAUUCGACGAAGACCAAGCGGAAGGAGCAAAACCUCAUCUUGCUGUGAGAAAACCGAACCAAGAAAACGAGAAAAAAUUCUAAGAAAGAGGCUCUAAUACCAUGUCAAGUAUGAUAUUCAAUAAGACUUGAUGCCUCACAAUGUGAAAUGUUCUCAUUGUAUAGAACCAAAUCAUAACUAAAUAUGGUAAAAAUAAUCUAUCUAUUUGUCAUAAUCUUCGACUAUUUCCAUAAUCUUAUUCAAUCUCCACAAUCUUCAAUCUCAUUAACACUUUGAGACUAGUUUACUUAGGAUCAUGUUACAUAUUUCCCGCACCAUUACUUCUACAACUUAAGUUCUUCUAGAAGUCUUUGUACUAGUGAAUUAUAGUUCCUAUUUGGUGCAAAUUAAAAUAAAGAUUUUAAUUUAAGUCAAAGUCAAUAACUAAUUUUAACUGCACCUUUAUGGGAUCCACAACUUUACAACCAUACAUUUCAACAAUUUUUAUCAAAAUCUACUAAAAAACUAAUUUUAAUCCCCACCAAACGUGGGCAUAAUUUAUUUAUCAAUAUGGGAUCAACUUACAAUGUCUCAUUACUAUUUCAUUUUAAUCCCCACCAAACGUGGGCAUAAUUUAUUUAUCAAUAUGGGGUCAACUUACAAUGUCUCAUUAUUAUUUCAUUGCAGUUCAUUGCUUCUUUCUAUCAACACAUCGUGGUUCAGAGAUGAGUAUCUCUUUCUCUCUCUCUCUCUAGUGUGCAUGAGCCUACAUGCAUUCCCAUCUACGGUAUAAAUAUGCAUACAAGAAUGCACAAAAGAAUAUAUAUUGAAGAUAGGGACAUAUGGUUGUUUGAAAAACUGAUAUAAUGGGGAAAGAUUGUACUAAAAUCAACAUUACUGACAAAUAUUAACUUCUGUGGACCUAGGUGAAAAGUCCACUUGAAGAAAAUGAAAUGGUUGGAAUCACUAAUUACAUUGACUUUGGCUUUGAGUUACAGACAAGGUAUUUUCAUAUGUUAAAUAUCGCAUACAUUGAUAUCAUAUAAAGUGGUGGAAUCCGACUUCAUUUUAUACUUUUCGUGAAGUAUUGACGAUGAAAAGUCAUUAAAUAAUAUUCAAGAGUCCACUUUUCAAGUGGCUGCAUCUUGGCAAGCCAAUAAAAACUUCUUACUGAAGGUAACACAAUUUUGAUAAUGUUUCUAAUCAUUUAGUUUGUGAUAGUAUUAUUUGUGAAGCAAUUAAGUUUAAGACAUCAAUGUGUCAAUUUUGCAGGGAAAUUCAUCAAUAGCUUUAGCAUUUAAAUCAUGGUGGAAACCUUCUUUCAUUUUCAGCAUGUCAGGUAUCUGAUAUGUGUGUCCCCUCGUUCUUAAGAGAUUUAGCUACAAAAUUCUAUGCCUCAAAAUUCGCUGUAUAAUAUCGAGCAUUUUAUAAUAGCUUGUUGUUUAAUCUUCAAAUAUUGCUCAUUAGUAGUAAACUUGCACAUUUGUCUAUAUCUCUGAACAAGUUAUGCUAUCACUGCUUUCGUUUUUUUCAUCGUUGAAGUAGAAUAAUUUUUAGGACAGACAGUGUUGUUCGAGACCUUGAGAGCAUGUGUUAUAUGCAUUAGUAGAAAGGAUUGGACAAUACAAUAUACUAGAUUUAGUUUAUUUUUCUUAUUUAGCCCCUAUUUGUUUUUCAUUGUUUCUAUAUUAAAAUGAAAAAUAUGACCGUUAUCCAUCACAUCAAACCAUCAAAUUUGAAUUUUGAUCUCUUGUGUGGGGCCUAUAACGGCUAUAUUUUUCAUUCUCAUUUUUACAAAAAUGGAAAACAAACGCUCCUUUAAUAUUGUUGAUUUUUUUUUUUUUUAAUUUUAUUCGAUCCACCUUAUGAAACAUGUCAUAACAAUGUAGAAUUGAGGAUGAAGAUAUUGAUUCCCGUUUUGUUGUUUCUCUAUCAUUCUUUGCCCCUCAUUCUCUGUUUAUAUAAUUUAUCUCAUUCUUCAACCAUUAAUUUCACUGGCUUACAACUGUCAGAGAUCGGACAAAACGAGGGACAUCAUUUGGAUUUGGUGUUCGUGUCGAUAACAUUAGGGAAGUAAGGUUGGAUACAUUUCCCUGUAUGCCUUCUCGAUACGAUUUUAUAAGCCCACGGAGGCUCCACCUUUGUAUUGCCAUUCUACAUCCAUGGAAAUUUGAUAUCAUCGCUUCCCUGAUUGUAGUUAUCAAAGGACAGACCCAAAUUUCGUUAUGUUGACCCCAAACAAGGAGCAUCUAGCUGAGGGCAUAUGCUGGAAAAUUAAGAAAAGACGAGUGCUCCCAUUUGAUGUAAAUUCUGGAAAUUUUGAUGGCAUGCCCAGGGAAUUGAGACCCUUGGCCAAAAUUUUGAAACCUUUUGGCAAUUUUGCUUUUGUUUGAUGGAAAAAUGAUCUACUAAGUAUCGAUGCUUAACUUAUAUUAAAAUCGG
rnacentral:lncRNA from 1 species